UUGUUAGGAUUAUAUAUCCGACUAAAACAUAAUAGCCUUCAUAUCGAAUUAUUUGGAAUAACAACAUAAGCGGAAGCGUACCUGAAUCCAUAAGUGGAUAUCCUUAGUCCUUCUUGAUGAUUGUCCAAAUGUUUGGCUUUGAAAGCUCCUUGAUCCUUCUUGAAGAUUGUCCUUCUUGAAGUAUUGGCUUUCACACGAAUUUAUCUAAGACCAAAAAUGGAGAAUGGUUUUCCACUUGAU
rnacentral:lncRNA from 1 species